AUGGCUGAUAUAUAUAGUUUGGGUGUUGUUAUCGUCGAACUUGUGACAGGAACUAAGAGCAUUCCACAUAUAACCAAUGUACUUCGAAGGUGGACACACAGGUGGAAUAAAUCGGCGACACGACACCAACAACACCAAGUAAUUAAAUGUAUGGAAAUAGCGUUACGGUGCAGUUUACAGGAACCAGAAAAUAGACCUUCUAUCAAUGAGAUAAUCCGCGAUCUAAGCGAAACAGGAAGUACAAGUGGGUCAAUUAGCCAGACUAGUCUAUGCCAGCAUGAUGACAUGCUUGGGAUUGAGCCACUGGAGCUGCGUUUCCAUUUCGAGCAUAACAAGCAGAUUUCGUGCUCAGUUGAGCUAACUAACGAGACAAGUAAUUCCACUGCCUUUAACAUCCUAACGCCAAGCGAACAGUACAUCGCUCAGCCAGACAAAGGCAUUGUGCUGCCAGGAGGCAAGCGUGAGGUGAAGAUCACACUUCAAUCACAGGAGAGUGCAACACAAGUUACGAAUGGGGACAAGUUUGUCGUGCAGAGCAUAAAACUGAAGGAGGGUCUAGCAGAUGAGGAAAUUACUGAUCGCAUGUUCAACAGCAAGGGCAGUGAAGUGGUUGAUGAAGUCAAUUUGAUGGUUGUAUAUGAUCCCGAGAAAUACCGAGAAGAGGAAGCCUCCAAGGACAUUGGGCCUAGCAGCUAUGAUAGCUCAAGAUACAUGUAUUUCAACCCACUCGAAAGCAUUUCACGGAAUCUAGCUACAAGCUUGACGAGCGACCAAACCGUGGGUCUCGCAACGGGGGCCAUCGGAAUCCUGCUCCCCAAGCUGAGUGAGCUCCUCAACAAGUACAAUCCAGAUACAAGCAUUAGGAGUGAUGUGGAUUGUGUCAUACAAGAGCUAAGAGUCAUGCGCGCUGAUCUUUGCUAUGUGUCAGAGGUGCAGCGGGACAACAAGAAUGAGCAGAUCAAGUUGGUCAAGCUUUGGGCCGACGAAGUCAGGGAACUGUCAUAUGACAUAGAGGAUGUCGUCGACGGCUUCCUGAUGCACGUCGAGGGCUCAGAACCUGCCACCUAUACUGCUGGAUUGAUGGAGCUCAUACAAAAGAUGAUGACCACGUUAAAAUUGGGAAGUACCAAUCACCAGAUUGGUGGCACGAUAAAAAAAAUCAAGGACCAAAUCCAGAACAAGUCUUUCUGGAAGAGAGAGUACAAGGUUGAAAAGGUUGUACCUUUUGAACGAAGAAAGGUUGCCAAUACAGUUUCCACAAUUAAUGCUCAUCUACUGUCGGCAUUGGCCAACGAUAGCAAUAAACUCGUUGGCAUCAAUGAUGCAAUGAAGGAUUUCACCAAGAGGCUGAGAGGUGUAGAUAAGGAUCUCAAGGUACACUCCAUCUUCGGUAUUGGAGGAUUGGGCAAGACCACGCUUGCCAGAGCUGUGUAUAAUCAGCUCAAAGAGUCCUUGCGUUUGACAGCUUUUGUUCUCAUGGGUCGGAAUCCCGAUGUGAAGAAACUCUUCUACGACAUUCUAUUUGAACUUGACCAAAAGAUGUGUAUAAAGUUGAAAAACAAAGAACUGGAUGAAAGACAGCUCAUAGAUGUACUCAAAAGUCUGCUCAAGAACAACAGGUACACACCACCUACCCUGGUGAAGAACAACAAUAUUAAACGUUUAGAAAAAGCAUGCCCAGAGUUACAGAAUGUGAUGUGUCACCUGAUCCACAUGGGGCUAAACUAG
rnacentral:rRNA from 1 species